rnacentral:rRNA from 1 species
GGCCUAACACAUGCAAGUCGAGCGGUAACAGAAAGUAGCUUGCUACUUUGCUGACGAGCGGCGGACGGGUGAGUAAUGCUUGGGAACAUGCCUUGAGGUGGGGGACAACAGUUGGAAACGACUGCUAAUACCGCAUAAUGUCUACGGACCAAAGGGGGCUUCGGCUCUCGCCUUUAGAUUGGCCCAAGUGGGAUUAGCUAGUUGGUGAGGUAAUGGCUCACCAAGGCGACGAUCCCUAGCUGGUUUGAGAGGAUGAUCAGCCACACUGGGACUGAGACACGGCCCAGACUCCUACGGGAGGCAGCAGUGGGGAAUAUUGCACAAUGGGCGCAAGCCUGAUGCAGCCAUGCCGCGUGUGUGAAGAAGGCCUUCGGGUUGUAAAGCACUUUCAGUCAGGAGGAAAGGUUAGUAGUUAAUACCUGCUAGCUGUGACGUUACUGACAGAAGAAGCACCGGCUAACUCCGUGCCAGCAGCCGCGGUAAUACGGAGGGUGCGAGCGUUAAUCGGAAUUACUGGGCGUAAAGCGUACGCAGGCGGUUUGUUAAGCGAGAUGUGAAAGCCCCGGGCUCAACCUGGGAACUGCAUUUCGAACUGGCAAACUAGAGUGUGAUAGAGGGUGGUAGAAUUUCAGGUGUAGCGGUGAAAUGCGUAGAGAUCUGAAGGAAUACCGAUGGCGAAGGCAGCCACCUGGGUCAACACUGACGCUCAUGUACGAAAGCGUGGGGAGCAAACGGGAUUAGAUACCCCGGUAGUCCACGCCGUAAACGAUGUCUACUAGAAGCUCGGAGCCUCGGUUCUGUUUUUCAAAGCUA